AGUCCCGUAGCUCAGCUUGGUUAGAGCACUACACUGAUAAUGUAGGGGUCGGCAGUUCAAGUCUGCCCGGGACUA
rnacentral:tRNA from 1 species